CGGAGCUUUAUUCAAAAAUUCCACAGAACCUGUAUCCAUCCAGCUACUUUGCAGAGGAGCUUUUGAGGCCUCCGCCAUCACAACGACCGAACCCCCAGAGGAGGAUGACGUAACCAAGCCAAUGUUAAGAGAUGGAACUCGCGAUGUCCGUGUACCUGAUGCUGUUCAAAAGGACUGGAGAGCAGAGGGAGUGUUGGAUGACGAUCUUGAAAUACACGACCAUUCCACAAGAAACUUAGACGAUCUUCUUUCAAGAAACAGGGGAAGCUUU